CGUAGGGUGCGAGCGUUAAUCGGAAUUACUGGGCGUAAAGCGUGCGCAGGCGGUUUUGUAAGACAGAUGUGAAAUCCCCGGGCUCAGCCUGGGACCUGCAUUUGUGACUGCAAGGCUAGAGUACGGUAGAGGGGGAUGGAAUUCCGCGUGUAGCAGUGAAAUGCGUAGAUAUGCGGAGGAACACCGAUGGCGAAGGCAAUCCCCUGGACCUGUACUGACGCUCAUGCACGAAAGCGUGGGGAGCAAACAGGAUUAGAUACCCUGGUAGUCCACGCCCUAAACGAUGUCAACUGGUUGUUGGGUCUUUACUGACUCAGUAACGAAGCUAACGCGUGAAGUUGACCGCCUGGGGAGUACGGCCGCAAGGUUG
rnacentral:rRNA from 1 species